AGGUAAGCAUACGAUUGCAAAUACAGACUUUUAAGAACACAUUAAAUAUGCUGUGAAUAAUGAAGUAUGUUCGUAUGAUUUAAGUGCAUAACUAUAUGUAUAUGUAGAAAUCUUAGGGGUAAGUUAAUAAGACUUCUCUGGUUAUCAAUAUAUUGAUGCAUGCAAUGCUAAGGGUUUUGUACUAAUUUUGAAAUUCUGUUGAUUGUUGGUGGAGAGUACUUAUGUUUUCAAUGAUGGUAGAAUUUUAGAUUUACUAUUUGAAUUGAAUAACUUUUUAUAUACUACAAGGCUUUUGCAGUUUCACUUUAACGUAACAUAUAUAUUAUAUAAACAAAAUAAUAUGAAAUGAUGACAUAGAGCAAUAGAAAGUAUUUUUCUACAGCUUUCGGAUGUUUACCUUUCAUCUAUGAAAGAGAUUAACCGACAUGACUGGUAGGGAAAAGCAUAAGUGAUAGGGAAAAGCUGCCUACAUUUAUAAUAAUUCAAAUAGAAAAGCAAGCUGUAGUUGAUAGCAUAAGUUGGAAAACCUUCUCAAACAAAACAGAUAGCAACAACCAAACUGAUUGAGAAAGAACUGCAAAUCUCAAAAGUAUCCAUAACUCGAUUACAGGCUUUAGCUGGAAAAUAAGUCAAAUAAGGCGUAUUUCUAUAACUAUUUACUAAGAAUUCAAUUUGUUUUAAGAUUUAUUAAAAAGAAUUAAAGCGCAAGAGACCGGCAAAGAUCAGCGAUACAUGCCCUACAAAAGCUAAUACAAUUUUCAUCACAAAGCACGCACGAAAAUUACAUUUUGUUCCCCUUACUCACUUGUUCACUUUUCGUGAGAGUCUUCGUAGAGGUCUGGAUUUAAAAUUUAGAUUAAUUAGCCUUGUCCAAAUUUAGUAAGUUUUUCUAAAAGCUUUUUUUUAUAAUGAAGAUUGGAUGAUGAUGAAGGCUUACUGGUCAUGAGAACGAGAAAAGAUUCGAAAAAUAAUUGUCUAUAGUCCAGCCCACUAAAUUUGUAUACUGAAAAAAACAUUUUUUAACAAUUUCAGUUUCAUAUACUAUAAUAAAAUUUUUCUUAUCGCUUUUUCCUAUAAGACAGUUUGUACGAGAAAGGACUGAAAAAUUUCCGAAAUUUUUCUCAAUCCACUUGUCUUUCUUUCCAAAGUGAACUCUCUACAUAGGAGGAGGAAGUCGAAAUAAUCCAAUAAGACUUAUUUUCAACUAAAAUCAGGUUAACGUAGAGAAUUUUGUUGAUAAUAUUACGCUUUCAUAUGAUGUUUUUCGCAAAGUGAAGCUCUACAUAAGAGGAGGUAGAGAAAAUGGUCCGACAUGAAGUAGACAUAAUGGUCCAGGGCAAUGUAGGCAAUUUUGUUGACAAUCUCUCAACAAUUGGGACUUUCAAGUUGAACAUGGACGGACGGACGGACGGACAGAGGAAGGGAUGGACAAAUACGCCAUAAUUUGCAAUAAAGAAAACGAUUCCCAAUGAAUUGGCGUAAAAUACAAUGUCGAUGUAUUUUAACUGCUUUUAAGUGUCUGUGCAUGGCAUUCAUAGAAACUCACUUAUCCUUACCACAAGUUGUGUACGGUAUACAAACACGCAAUAAACUGAAAUUAAGAAAUUUAUAUCUGACUUGGAUACGAUUCGUUAAUAUCGUUGAUCAAAAUUAAAAAACACUUUGUAAUCGCCCUUCAUACAUAUGUAGAUGAUUUCGAUAGGACAGGAAGAAAUAUAUACAUUAGAAUAGAUUUAUAUUCCAUUAUGUAUCCAAAUAAAGGAUUUAUUUAAUUCAUAGUGCUUGUAAUGCCCACUUGCAGGCAUAUCGAAUUCUUGACAAAUUUAACAUGCCUGUUACAACGAUAGUAAUAAAAUUUAUUUCACUUGAAAGGCUUUCGUUUAAGUUAUUUCUUCCCCUCUUCUUAUGUGCUCACUGAACCGUUUCCCGAAAACAAGCCAUUAGUUGUUAUUUAUCACAAAAAGCCUAAAUGUCAAACGAUACACAAAUCAUUAUCACGAAUUGCUUUAUUGAGGGCAAAUCAAUAGACAUUAGCAUAGUAUACGUAAAACGGGGGAGAGACGUAUGCGUGUAUGAAAUACAUUAGCAUAUUUUUUUACUAGGAAGCAUUUCUUUCAUAGAUUUUCAUUUGCGUUAUUUAUGUUUCAUAAAGGAAAGUAUAACAAAUGCUAUCAAGAAAAAAAAAAAAAAAAGAAAAGAAAUUAAAUUAGAAAAUAUUUAUAUCCUUUCUUUGAUAUGAAUCUUGAAUAUCCAGCACAUAUCGGGAAUCACAAAGCUUGAUAUCGAGACUAGUCAAGCUUCUAUCUCAAGUUUUAUUCACACCGUAGACGAUAAGCAGCGAAUGAAUGAACAAAGGAAUCGUCUAGAACGACUUUCUGUACCUAUAGUAAUGGAAAAAAGACAAUUUAUUGGCAUCGUGAGAUUAUUGGUAUUCUUCAUAUUCUCUCAGCCUUCGAUCAAUUUAGCAAAAGUUAAGCAUAUCGUUAUGCUUUUAAACUACACAAGUGACACAAUAAAGAUCUUAAUGAAACUUAUUCAUUUGCUUAAUAUAAUCAUUCAACUGACGUUUCAUUUACAACUUUAUAAUAACAAAUACAAGAUAAGAUUAUUUUUUGAAAAGAAAAAAAAAAAAAACAAGAGAAAUCUCGUUUCAUGUUCCUUAAAGGCAUUUGAGAAUUAAAAAUUAUUGCAUUUGUUAACUUACAAAAUACCAAAAAUUGAUGAUAACUUUCUAUGAAUUUUAAGUUUCAAUGAGUCGUCCAGAUAAGCAAUUUUUGUGAUAGAAACAAAGGGUAGCAAAAAAUGAUCUGCUACUGCUUUAUGGCUACAAAAGAAACAAAAAUUCAUGAACAUUAUUAUGCUUUUGUAUCUGCAUAUGAAAAUGCACCAAAAACAAACAAAAUAAAUACUUUUUUUUUUUUAAAUUUUUCCAUUUACACAAAUUUUCUACACAUAUUUUUUCAAUUUAUUUUAAUUUCUAGGAAAAAAAAAAAUAUUUCUUCUCGUUUCCCCGAAGAGAAGAAGCAGUUCAGGAUUUUGAUUUUCUCUAUGCACUUACAAAAGUGGCCUGAUUGUUGUUAUUAUUAUUCUCUUUGUAACAUUUUUCAUAUAAACAUCUGUGUUGGUGAAUUAGUAUGUGGUGCUCCUGUGCACUUUUAAACUUCAAUAUUAUUGGAAACGUGACCUGCACACUUAAAUAACUUAUUUGUGUAUGUAUUCUCUUAGAAUUCUUGUUUCCUCUCGGAUAAUAUAUAUAUAUAUGUACUUCUUGGACUUACAAUAUUCAUGUUUUAUAUUGAAUAAUUUAAAAAGUAUUGAACCUUAAAGAGAUUCAUUUUUCAUUUCACUCCAAACAUUUCAUUGACAUAGAGGCUAACUUUUUGAAUUCAUUAUUAUUAUACUCAAUCAAAGGGAUCGAAGGAAUCGCUUCAAUAAAAGAAUUACACUUAGACUUGGUAAGGACUCAUUUAACCCGUCAUGUCCUCACAUCCUUGAUUAGUGUUGGAUACUUAAUCGAUUUAGCAAUGUAUGUCUGUAAACUAUGGCCUAUGGCUGGUAAACUCAAUUAUUGGGCUCACUAUUUUGACAGUCUCUUAUAUAUUACUUAGUAGUGUUGCUAUUAUAUCUCCAUUGCUUCGCCCUUAGUCCUUUUUAUUUUUUAUACAUUUUUUUAGUUCUUUUCUUUUCGUAGGUAUUACUUGGAUGACAUUUCUGAAAAAAAAAAAAAAACAUGCAAUAUAGCACAAUGCUCUUCCCCUGGUCAUAGGAGGAAGCAAAAGUUGAGAAAUACAAAAAAAAAAAAAA